AACUAGGGGCUACUGGUAGGCUUGAUACAUGCAGUCCGGAGAGAGGUUGCGUUCGGGCAGCACGUACCGGCGAAUCGGGUGCGUCGCACGUAUGCAACCUACCUAUGACUGGGGGAUAGCCCGAAGAAAUUCGGAUUAAUACCCUAUAAUAUUUACUACUCGCAUGAGUUGGUAUCUUAAAACUCCGGUGGUUAUAGAUGGGCAUGCGGCCUAUUAGUUUGUUGGUGAGGUAACGGCUCACCAAGACUACGAUAGGUAGGGGUUCUGAGAGGAUGAUCCCCCACACUGGUACUGAGACACGGACCAGACUCCUACGGGAGGCAGCAGUAGGGAAUAUUGGUCAAUGGACGCAAGUCUGAACCAGCCAUGCCGCGUGCAGGAAGACGGCCCUAUGGGUUGUAAACUGCUUUUAUA
rnacentral:rRNA from 1 species